rnacentral:rRNA from 1 species
UACGAGUGCCUCAAGCGUUAUCCGGAAUCAUUGGGCGUAAAGGUUGUGUAGGUGGUCAUAUUAGUCUCCUGUUAAAUUCUUCGGCUCAACCUCGGGCCUGCAGUGGGUACGGGCAGACUAGAGUGCGGUAGGGGAGAUUGGAAUUCCUGGUGUAGCGGUGGAAUGCGCAGAUAUCAGGAGGAACACCGAUGGCGAAGGCAGAUCUCUGGGCCGUAACUGACGCUGAGGAGCGAAAGCGUGGGGAGCGAACAGG